UUUUUAUUGAGAGUUUGAUCCUGGCUCAGGACGAACGCUGGCGGCGUGCCUA
rnacentral:rRNA from 1 species